GACUGCUAUCGGAUUGGUACUAAGCCAUGCGAGUCAUUGUAGCAAUACAAGGCGGACGGCUCAGUAACACGUAGUCAACCUAACUCGUGGACGUGGAUAACCUCGGGAAACUGAGAAUAAACCACGAUAGAUCAUAGUGCCUGGAAUGGCUUAUGGUCCAAACAGUUUACUGCCAUGGGAUGGGACUGCGGCCUAUCAGCUUGUUGGUGAGGUAAUGGCCCACCAAGGCGAUUACAGGUACGGGCUCUGAGAGGAGAAGCCCGGAGAUGGGUACUGAGACACGGACCCAGGCCCUAUGGGGCGCAGCAGGCGAGAAACCUUAGCAAUGUGCGAAAGCACGACUGGGUCAG
rnacentral:rRNA from 1 species